UAGUCAUAUGCUUGUCUCAAAGAUUAAGCCAUGCAUGUCUAAGUACAAGCCUCACUAAGGUGAAACCGCGAAUGGCUCAUUAAAUCACACCUAAUCUACUGGAUAGUUAACAGUUACUUGGAUAACUGCGGUAAUUCUGGAGCUAAUACAUGCACAAAGCCCCGAACUUACGUGAGGGGCGCUUUUAUUAGAUCAAAACCAAACGGCUUCGGCUGUAUCCUUGGUGACUCUGAAUAACUUUGGGCUGAUCGCAUGGCCUAGCGCCGGCGACAUAUCCUUCGAAGGUGUGCCCUAUCAACUGUCGACUGUGGCAUGGACGCCCACAGUGGUUUUGACGGGUAACGGGGAAUCAGGGUUCGAUUCCGGAGAGGGAGCCUUAAAAACGGCUACCACAUCUAAGGAAGGCAGCAGGCACGCAAAUUACCCAAUGACCGAAGGUCGAGGUAGUGACAAAAAAUAACGAUACGGGACUCAUCUGAGGCCCCGUAAUCGGAAUGAGUACACUUUAAAACCGUCCCCGAGGAUCUAUUGG
rnacentral:rRNA from 1 species